AUACGUAGGGGGCGAGCGUUGUCCGGAAUGAUUGGGCGUAAAGGGCGCGUAGGCGGCCCGGUAAGUCUGGAGUGAAAGUCCUGUUUUUAAGAUGGGAAUUGCUUUGGAUACUGUCGGGCUUGAGUGCAGGAGAGGUAAGUGGAAUUCCCAGCGUAGCGGUGAAAUGCGUAGAGAUUGGGAGGAACACCAGUGGCGAAGGCGACUUACUGGACUGUAACUGACGCUGAGGCGCGAAAGUGUGGGGAGCAAACAGGAUUAGAUACCCUGGUAGUCCACACUGUAAACGAUGAAUGCUAGGUGUAGGGGGUAUCGACCCCUUCUGUGCCGCAGUCAACACAAUAAGCAUUCCGCCUGGGGAGUACGGCCGCAAGGUUGAAACUCAAAUGAAUUGACGGGG
rnacentral:rRNA from 1 species